AUUGAACGCUGGCGGCGUGCUUAACACAUGCAAGUCGUGCGGUAACAGGCGUAGCAAUACGUGCUGACGAGCGGCGAACGGGUGCGUAAUACAUGGGAAUCUGCCCUUUAGUGGGGAAUAACCCGGCGAAAGCCGGGCUAAUGCCGCAUAAGAUCUUCGGAUGAAAGCGGGGAGUCGUAAGACCUCGCGCUGAUGGAUGAGCCCAUGUCGGAUUAGCAGUUGGUGAGGUAACGGCUCACCAAGGCGACGAUCCGUAGCUGGUCUGAGAGGACGGCCAGCCACACUGGGAC
rnacentral:rRNA from 1 species